GUACACUCCUACGGGAGGCAGCAGUGGGGAAUUUUGGACAAUGGGCGAAAGCCUGAUCCAGCAAUGCCGCGUGAGUGAAGAAGGCCUUCGGGUUGUAAAGCUCUUUUGUCAGGGAAGAAACGGUGAAAGCUAAUAUCUUUUGCUAAUGACGGUACCUGAAGAAUAAGCACCGGCUAACUACGUGCCAGCAGCCGCGGUAAUACGUAGGGUGCAAGCGUUAAUCGGAAUUACUGGGCGUAAAGCGUGCGCAGGCGGUUUUGUAAGUCUGAUGUGAAAUCCCCGGGCUCAACCUGGGAAUUGCAUUGGAGACUGCAAGGCUAGAAUCUGGCAGAGGGGGGUAGAAUUCCACGUGUAGCAGUGAAAUGCGUAGAUAUGUGGAGGAACACCGAUGGCGAAGGCAGCCCCCUGGGUCAAGAUUGACGCUCAUGCACGAAAGCGUGGGGAGCAAACAGGAUUAGAAACCCCGGUAGUCCCAUGA
rnacentral:rRNA from 1 species